ensembl:lncRNA
GUGUGUUUUGGUCAAAUAUCCCUUAAACAGAUGGAGGUGUGUUUUGGUCAAAUAUCCCUUAAACAGAUGGAGGUGUGUUUUGGUCAAAUAUCCCUUAAACAGAUGGAGGUGUGUUUUGGUCAAAUAUCCCUUAAACAGAUGGAGGUGUGUUUUGGUCAAAUAUCCCUUAAACAGAUGGAGGUGUGUUUGGUCAAAUAUCCCUUAAACAGAUGGAGGUGUGUUUUGGUCAAAUAUCCCUUAAACAGAUUGAGGUGUGUUUGGUCAAAUAUCCCUUACACAGAUGGAGGUGUGUUUUGGUCAAAUAUCCCUUACACAGAUGGAGGUGUGUUUUGGUCAAAUAUCCCUUACACAGAUGGAGGUGUGUUUUGGUCAAAUAUCCCUUCCACAGACAGAGGUGUGUUUUGCAGAGAUCAUCACAUGCAGACAUCAUAGGUUCACCUGCGCCGCGUUUCACAAAGAUGUGGCUGUUGUAACCAAAAAUCUUCAAUUUAGACUCAUCAGACCGAACAGAUUUUACUGGCAGUCUACUGGCAACUUCUUGUGCUUAUAGGCCCAAGCAAGUUGCUUCUUAUUAGUUGUGUCCUUCAGUAGUGGUUUCUUUGCAGCAAUUCGUCCAUAAAGUUGUUGAGAUGUGUCAGUUACUUGAAGUCUGUUAAGCAUUUAUAUGGGCUGCAAUCUGAGGUGCAUUUAAUUGCCGAUUUCUGAGGCUGGUGACUCUAAUGAACUCAUCCUCUGCAGCAGAUGUAACUCUGGGUUUCCUUGCCUGUGGCAGUCCUCAUGAGAGACAGUUUCAUCAUAGCGCUUGUUGGUUUUUGCAACUGAAGAUUCUUGAAAUUUCUAGGAUUGACCGACCUACAUGUCUUAAAUAAUGAUGGGCUGUUGUUUCUCUUAGUUUAUUUGAGCUGUUCUUGAUAUAAUAUGGAUUACUACAGUACAGACAGAAUGGUGGUCUGUGUACCAACCCAACCUUGUCACAACACAAAUUAUUGGGUCAAAAACAUUAAGGAAAUAAAUUCCACAAAUGAACUUUUAACGAGCCACACCUGUAAUUUGAAAUGCAUUCCAGAUGACUACCUCAUGAAGUUGGUUGACAGAAUGCAAAGAGUGCAAAGCUGUCAUCAAGGCAAAGGGUGGCUACUUUAAAGAAUCUACAUGAAAUGUGUUUUGAUCUGUUAAACACUUUUUUUGGAACACAACCAAUGUGUAUGUUUAUAUGUAUACCUAUAUGUGUAUAUAUAUAUACAUAUAUGUGCAUAAGUGUGUGUGUAUGACUCUUGGCAUGCCCAAUCAACUCAAAUAUGGCCGAAGGUUCCACUUGAAAUCAUUCAAUUUGUUUUGCGCAGUUUGUUUCUGGGUGUAUUUCAUUCCAAUACCCACAAUCCACUGUGCCACGCUCCAAGAGGGUGCCUUUCAGUAAUCUACCUUUGCCUCUUCUUAAGGUCUCCUUUCCCUCAUUCACACUGAUCUGAGUGAACAGGGCAGGUGAAAAGCUAGGCCUGCAUCACACUACUUUAACCAAUCAAAUUUUGUCCGAUAAGUGCAAAUGAAAGAGUGGAGACAAAGGGCUCAAUUCAGACUUGGGAUAAAUUUACUUAAUAUGAACUUAGUCUAUUAAAAUGGGGAUUUAAGUGAAACAAUAUGUGUUCUUUAUCUCAAGUCCAUUUACCUGAAGUCUGAAUAGGACCCACUGGAAGACUGCAGAUGAAUGAAGCACCCCUGAUAUGACUUCCUCUACCUUAGGACCACACAGACUACCUUAGGACCACACAACGACUUCAAAGCCAUGACAAGGGGUUAAUCGAUUAUCUGUGAUUUCAUUUUUUAUUUUUUUGUCUUGAUACUUUCUAGAUUCAAAAUAAUAAAAUGUAUAAAUGGAG